GACGAACGCUGGCGGCGUGCUUAACACAUGCAAGUCGAACGGAAAGGCCCUGCUUGCAGGGUACUCGAGUGGCGAACGGGUGAGUAACACGUGGGUGAUCUGCCCUGCACUUCGGGAUAAGCCUGGGAAACUGGGUCUAAUACCGGAUAGGAGCCAUUUUUAGUGUGAUGGUUGGAAAGUUUUUUCGGUGUAGGAUGAGCUCGCGGCCUAUCAGCUUGUUGGUGGGGUAAUGGCCUACCAAGGCGGCGACGGGUAGCCGGCCUGAGAGGGUGGACGGCCACAUUGAGACUGAGAUACGGCCCAGACUCCUACGGGAGGCAGCAGUGGGGAAUAUUGCACAAUGGGCGCAAGCCUGAUGCAGCGACGCCGCGUGGGGGAUGACCGCCUUCGGGUUGUAAACUCCUUUCGCUAGGGACGAAGCUUUUUGUGACGGUACCUAGAUAAGAAGCACCGGCUAACUACGUG
rnacentral:rRNA from 1 species